GCAUUGGUGGUGUAGCGGUAACAUUGGGUCUUCCCAUUUGGUAUCUGGCCUAGCUCCGAGUUCGACUCUCGGCCAAUGCA